rnacentral:pre_miRNA from 1 species
UGACCCCAUAGGCUGGCUGGUCCCCAGGCUGGGCUGGGUGAGUAUCUUUUCAAAAGGCUCACACUCGAGCACGACUAGGAAC